rnacentral:misc_RNA from 1 species
GACAUAGCCACAAUUAGCCCUUCUAUAGUUGGUUCACUUUCCAACUUAAAUUCCCUUUUUAUGUACAAAACAGCCCCUGCGAUGGUUGCAUUAUCCCACCCUUGCAAUAAGUUACCAACCGCAGCAGCAACAGCCACAAGCACAGCUCCACUCAUCUUUCCCAGAAACUAAGAUUUCAACCCCCUCUCAGCACUAAUAGAACUAACUAAAUACCCCAGCUGAGGAAGCAAAAGAAGCAGAACGGUUUGAUGGGUCCCUUCAGUUAUCAUCAGAUGAAGAAAGGGCCAUCGUUUUCCCAGGAAAAUGUAAUCACUUGGCGUCCAAAGAUAGUAGUGGGGUACAGUAACCAUAAAAACGAAAUGAAAGAAUU